rnacentral:piRNA from 1 species
UCAUUGGUGACUCCUGUCAGAUGCGCCCU